GGCGAUUCUCCGAAAUGUCGAGAUUUUGUUCUAGGUAACGGGGCUCUGGUUCCUCUGCUAUCUCAGCUAAAUGAGCAUGCUAAACUUUCUAUGCUUAGAAAUGCUACCUGGACACUUUCGAAUUUCUGUAGGGGCAAGCCUCAGCCUGCUUUUGAUCAGGUUAGUUGGAUUACCCUCAUGUGAAAUUUAUAUUGUGAGAUGCUUUUGUGUAUAUACCUGCAUAAAAACCUUUAACAUUAAUGGUCAUAAAGCUUGCAGUUGUCCUACCAAUAGAUUCACUUGUCUCAGUUCGUGUCCAGGAAAAGCAUGCAACACUGUCAAUAUUUUUGCAUAUCUAGUUCCUGUUUUGUUAAAGAAUAAAAAAAAAAAAAAUUCAACAUAAAGUUAACAAAAGCGAUGGAAGUCCCUUGAUAUUUCGUUAAUAUAUGCUGCUGGAACUGCAAGCUUCAUAUUUUUAUGUUUAUUUGUACUCUCAUUAUCCAUGUUUCUAAAAUUACCUUUAUAGAUGAGACCAGUGCUCCCAGCUCUUCAGCGUCUUAUUCAUUCAAAUGAUGAAGAGGUGUUAACUGAUGCAUGU
rnacentral:lncRNA from 1 species